rnacentral:rRNA from 1 species
CACGAACCGUACGAACGUUAUUCGGAAUUACUGGGCUUAAAGGGUUUGUAGGCGGCCAUGUAAGUCAGGUGUGAAAUCCCUCGGCUCAACCGAAGAACGGCGCUUGAUACUGCAUGGCUUGAGGGAGACAGGGGUAAGCGGAACUGAUGGUGGAGCGGUGAAAUGCGUUGAUAUCAUCAGGAACACCGGUGGCGAAAGCGGCUUACUGGGUCUCUUCUGACGCUGAGGAACGAAAGCUAGGGUAGCGAACGGG